UCAACAGCGGUUUUUGAUGUUUUUUGUUUUGUUUUAUCCAGUUGAGGAAGUUCUUCUGUCUUGUAAUUCUUCUCUCUUCUAGUUUGCAGAUAAUUUUUAUCAUAAAUGGGUGUUGAAAUUUGUCAAGUGUUUUUCUGCAUCGACUGAUAUGAUCAUGAAUAUGGUUUUUGUCAUUUCUCUUGUUGAAGUGAUGUA